GAAGGUGUGCUGUGAGGCAUGCUGGAGGUAUCAGAAGUGCGAAUGCUGACAUAAGUAACGAUAAAGCGGGUGAAAAGCCCGCUCGCCGGAAGACCAAGGGUUCCUGUCCAACGUUAAUCGGGGCAGGGUGAGUCGACCCCUAAGGCGAGGCCGAAAGGCGUAGUCGAUGGGAAACAGGUUAAUAUUCCUGUACUUGGUGUUACUGCGAAGGGGGGACGGAGAAGGCUAUGUUGGCCGGGCGACGGUUGUCCCGGUUUAAGCGUGUAGGCUGGUUUUCCAGGCAAAUCCGGAAAAUCAAGGCUGAGGCGUGAUGACGAGGCACUACGGUGCUGAAGCAACAAAUGCCCUGCUUCCAGGAAAAGCCUCUAAGCAUCAGGUAACAUCAAAUCGUACCCCAAACCGACACAGGUGGUCAGGUAGAGAAUACCAAGGCGCUUGAGAGAACUCGGGUGAAGGAACUAGGCAAAAUGGUGCCGUAACUUCGGGAGAAGGCACGCUGAUAUGUAGGUGAAGUCCCUCGCGGAUGGAGCUGAAAUCAGUCGAAGAUACCAGCUGGCUGCAACUGUUUAUUAAAAACACAGCACUGUGCAAACACGAAAGUGGACGUAUACGGUGUGACGCCUGCCCGGUGCCGGAAGGUUAAUUGAUGGGGUUAGCCGCAAGGCGAAGCUCUUGAUCGAAGCCCCGGUAAACGGCGGCCGUAACUAUAACGGUCCUAAGGUAGCGAAAUUCCUUGUCGGGUAAGUUCCGACCUGCACGAAUGGCGUAAUGAUGGCCAGGCUGUCUCCACCCGAGACUCAGUGAAAUUGAACUCGCUGUGAAGAUGCAGUGUACCCGCGGCAAGACGGAAAGACCCCGUGAACCUUUACUAUAGCUUGACACUGAACAUUGAGCCUUGAUGUGUAGGAUAGGUGGGAGGCUUAGAAGUGUGGACGCCAGUCUGCAUGGAGCCGACCUUGAAAUACCACCCUUUAAUGUUUGAUGUUCUAACGUUGACCCGUAAUCCGGGUUGCGGACAGUGUCUGGUGGGUAGUUUGACUGGGGCGGUCUCCUCCUAAAGAGUAACGGAGGAGCACGAAGGUUGGCUAAUCCUGGUCGGACAUCAGGAGGUUAGUGCAAUGGCAUAAGCCAGCUUGACUGCGAGCGUGACGGCGCGAGCAGGUGCGAAAGCAGGUCAUAGUGAUCCGGUGGUUCUGAAUGGAAGGGCCAUCGCUCAACGGAUAAAAGGUACUCCGGGGAUAACAGGCUGAUACCGCCCAAGAGUUCAUAUCGACGGCGGUGUUUGGCACCUCGAUGUCGGCUCAUCACAUCCUGGGGCUGAAGUAGGUCCCAAGGGUAUGGCUGUUCGCCAUUUAAAGUGGUACGCGAGCUGGGUUUAGAACGUCGUGAGACAGUUCGGUCCCUAUCUGCCGUGGGCGCUGGAGAACUGAGGGGGGCUGCUCCUAGUACGAGAGGACCGGAGUGGACGCAUCACUGGUGUUCGGGUUGUCAUGCCAAUGGCACUGCCCGGUAGCUAAAUGCGGAAGAGAUAAGUGCUGAAAGCAUCUAAGCACGAAACUUGCCCCGAGAUGAGUUCUCCCUGACUCCUUGAGAGUCCUGAAGGAACGUUGAAGACGACGACGUUGAUAGGCCGGGUGUGUAAGCGCAGCGAUGCGUUGAGCUAACCGGUACUAAUGAACCGUGAGGCUUAACCUUACAACGCCGAAGGUGUUU
rnacentral:rRNA from 1 species